UUCAGCGGUACAGAAAGCAGCGGUGAAGCAGUGUCGUCUGUCGUGACUCACCACACUGAUUCGUGGCAAAUGCUUCAUAACACUGAAUGAACCAUUUCGACACGUUGCUUGAUAUAUAUUUACUGCUUCAGAAAGCUAAGGUUUCUCCAUCACUAGUACGACCCUAAUUUCCAAAUGUUCCACGUGACGUUGAGACGUGUUUGAUGCACGAAUUCUUCUUUGUUUGUAUGUUUGUUUUCUUUUGAUGCACGAGUUCUUUAGAGCGUCAUCCUCCAGCCUUUGUGUCGUUGGACGUGCGUGCGUGCGUGCGUGACGUAGUCAAGCUUGUGUGUCUGUCACAGAGCGAAAGAGGCUUGCGUCGUAUUAAAUUCUCCUCUGAAGUUUAUCUGGCUGAUCUUCUAUCUGGACCUGAGAGAUGAAGAAGGCACAAUCGCUCCUUUUCCAAGCGUUGACCGUGCUUGGCAUUUGGGCUUCGCUUGGUGAGUUCACGUUUUUAUUUGACUUCAAGGUUCACUGCAAACGUUGUUGGGACUGGAUUUGUUUCUUCAGAUCAUUAGGGGAUCAAUAUAAAAGGGCAUUUUAUUGGCCCCACCUCGGGGAAAUGUAUACUUGUCAGAUUACUAGACAUAUUAAGCAAACUGUCAGUCUCAUUUGAAACAAUGGAAACAAUACAUAAUACAUCCGCGGUUUUGAGACACUUUCUGAUCCGACUGUGAACUUUUGAAAAAAGGGUGUAGUAAAGCCUAUUUAAAACUAACGACUGACUUUAAGCAUUGAUAUACCACUCAUUUAACUCACUGACCGCCACUGACUGAAAACCUGAAACAUUCACUUCGGUUUGCCUUGGAAGGCUGCAAAUGGAUUGGACGUCUAGCACCGUCAUUGGCACAGAAACGUGAGAAUCCAUAGCCAGUCCUCCCAGUUAAGAAUAAGCGCACUUCUGUUGUUGUCAGUAGUAAGCUAAACGAACCAAAAUUAUACAUUAAUACAAAUGUAUAUAUAUAACUAUUUUAAAACUAUUAAAAUUAUUAUGAAUUAAAAAAAAAUAACACUAAAUAUUACUAUUAAAUUGUAUAAUAAUAAUUUUAAUUUAAUAAUAAUAAAUUUAAUAAAUUCAUAAUAAUUUAUUUUUUAAUUUAAUUUUAUAGUAUUAUAUAAUACUAUAUUAUUAGUAGUAGUAGUAUUACUAAAUAUAAUAACACUAAAUAUAUAAUACUAAGUAUUGACUAAUGGCAGUUAAAUACUCUUGUAGUUUAGUUUUGGUUAGUUUUAGUUUUAUACUAAAGGGUCAUAGUAUUUACCUAUGAUAUAAAUAAAUAUCUACUUUUUUUAAUUCCAUUAUAAUCUUAAUGAUUUUUUAAUCAAUAAAUUAUCAAUAAACCCAAUAGAUUUGUAUUAAUGUAUAAUUGUAUUUUUUCAUAUAUAAAUAAAAUUAACAUUAAAAAAUAAAAAAUAAAUACAUAUAUGUUACAGUUCUACAUGGACUGAGGUUUUCAAUGCAACGCUUCACAUUCCAGGUGUUUUGUUUCACAUUGCGAGAUGGAUAAUUUUGUAUGUGGUGCUUGUGUGUGUGUUUUGUCAUAAUGUAUCAAACGUAGGAAGAGAAUGUCCAAAAGACAUGUGCUUCAACACAACAGAAAACUUAGCUCCAAAACCAUUGUCUGUGAUCUCAAUUGAUCUGGAUCAUGAAUACAUAUAGGUUGAGGUGCUGGAGGGGGAGGGAUAAUUGAACUUUUAAUGACCGAAGGGAAAACAAACAACAACAAAAAACCUGCAGUUGAACACAAUCUUGAUGACUUUUACAAUUGUUGUUACAAUAUGAUUAACACCCCCCACCAACACAAACCUAUAUAAAGACAAACCGAACACUUUAAAAUGCAACUUUUUUUCACCUCGACCUAUAACCUUACUCACCUUGUCUUCACUGAUGCAAAAGCAUCUAUUGCACUUUCAUAUGACAGUUGUUUUGGAAGGGCACUUCUUUCCUGGACUUGGUGGGCUUGGACUUGGUGCUCAUGUGGAUAAGUUCGCUGUAAAAUGACACAUUUCAAAGACAACCCUAUGCUGAGAGCUACAAACUCUUUUGUGAACAAGUGAUCCGUCAAAGGAUUAUCGUUGACAAAGAAGUGCUCAGAAUGGACAAGCCAAGAAGGUUGUUCGUGAACAUCGUGAAGAACCAUGAGGAUCUUGAUGCUUCAGACUACAGGCGGGAUAUGCUGAAAAGAAGAUUGAAGUGUGAUUUCCCCCAAUUAGUUUUUUAUGGGGAGAGAUUUGUCUCAAAAAUAUUCUCACAAAUGCUUUCGCGAUUCACACAUAUCUUUUGUAGAUGCACAAAUAUAUCAGAGAUUUUCACAUGUAUUUUCGAGAUCCACAAAUAUAUCCAUGAGUUUCACAUGUGUUUUUGUAAUUCACAAGUAUAUCCUCGAAAUUCACAUGUGUUUUUUUUAUGUAGUGCGUGCACUCAUCAUGAAUUAUUGUUUGUAAGCAUUCGAAUUGUAUAUGGGAAUCAGCGGCCGAGUGCAUUUAUUUUUGAGACAAACAUAACAAGAAACGGUCAAAUUUUCUCACACAAGCGCAUUCGCGAUUCACACUUGUGUUUUUCGAAUUCACAAAUACAUCCGCGAUUCUCACAAAUACAUUAGUGAUUUUCACACGUGUUUUUCAGAUCCACAAAUACGUCCGCGUUUUCCUCGUGUGUUUUUUAAAUCCACAAAUACUUCCGCAAAUGUCGCAUGUUUUUUUUAAUGAUGUGCGCGCAAUUAUCAUGACUUGACAUUUUUUAAGCAUUCAGUUUUGCUUGUGAAUUGCUGGAGCUGUGUUUUUUUUGUUUUUGUUUUUUUUUUUAAACAGCGAACACGCGCAUUUCUUUUUGAGACAAACGUCACUCGAUGUUUCACCAAGAUUUUCUCACACACAGUAAACCAAGAAUUUUCACGUGUCUCAAAUAACCUCCGCCUCAGUCCGAUAGGCGGCAGUAUUGAGCGCAUAGAAAGGUCAAAAGUGCCCAUCAACACAGAUGGCAAAUGGUGUUCUACUUAUGUAGCGCUUUUCCACCUUUCAAGGCGCUCAAAGCGCUUUACACUACAUCGCCAUCUACAUACAGGUGACGCAGCACCAGGAGCAAUGUGGGGUUCAGUAUCUUGCUCAAGGAUACUUAGGCGAGUUCAUCAGGGCAGAGAAUUGCACAACCUCUGGGUUGGGGGACAACUACUCUACCGCAGAGCCACGCCAUCCCCAUCCCCAGAUCACAUACGGACACCUAGCGGGUGACAUUACACCGGGCAACAGAUAAACAGGUGUCUUGGGUCCGUUGGAAAACCUACCCUAUUCCAUUUUUUGUUUUUAUGUGUGUUAAUAAAAAAAAAAAAAAAAAAAAAGAGAAAUGAAUCAUCUCCCGUUUCCCAAUUAAAAACUGCUAAUUCAAUAACGGAAACGAGACUUAAUCCAUUUUACCAAUUAAUGGUUUUGAGCUGAAGUCGAAAAACAAAAUAUGUCCAAUAUUUGUUUUUAUUAACAAAAAAAAAAAAAACAACAGCACAAAUAUGCCAGGGGGUUAUAAACAUUUCAAACAUUGCACAUCAGGAAAAUAACAAAACAAAACAAAAACAAAAAAACAAUGAAUAAUGCUGUGAGCAAUUAUUCACAAAGAGAUUCAAGUUUUUCCACAAAUAUUGUUAUUUUCCGCUUUUAGAUUAUUUGAUUUUUUAAACAGAUUUAUGUAGCACACAGUCUCGUUAUGAAAGUGAGAAAAAGAAGGUAACAGCUUGCUAAAUUUACAUUUGUGUAGGUAGAAUUUCGACAAAAUGACAAGAUUAAUAAUAGAAACAAUCUCUUUCUUGAGAUUCUUAUAGAAACAAAAACAAAAAAGACAUUUUCCCAUUUGAGUUUGAAGUCCACAUGUGUAGGCUCCUGAUUCUGAACUUGCAAAGUUCUUUCCAAAAUUUAUUGGAAAAAGAGCAGGUCCAAAAAAGGUGCUGAACUGUCUCUGUAUCAAUGUCCCACUUUAAUUUUUUUCAUGUAGUGGUUUGCAGGAUAGUACUUAUCUAUAGAUAAUUUUGAAAGCGACUUCUUUGACCUUACUUGUCAACCGAAACAUAUUGGGGAUAGUCCAUACUUAGGCGUGGACCAAAUGAUAUCUCCAAAAAGACUUAACAUAUGCUUUGGAUCUAAUCUCGUUCUGAAAUAGAGAUCGAGUAUAUCUAUUCAAAUUUUUGUUAUGUAGUAAACAUAAUUUCCCCACACUUGAAUUUAGUAUAUUUGGAGGAGAUAAAGUUUGAAAUGGCAUGUUUACAUUUCUGCACAGCAUAAUGAAUCCUGAAGGAAUCGCAUCAUCAACACUAGCAUAUUGCUUAGGUCUAACUGGUAACUGAAAAUAAUCCCAAAACUCCGCGUAAAACAUAGGUGCCAUUAAAAAGUUGUGACACAAAAAGUGUCUUCUGCCUCUAAUUGUCCAAAAAUAAAGAUUUGUUUUUGCAAAGAAUUCAAUGAGCCAUGACCCGGAAGACGAGGCCUUAUUGAAGAAAAACAUCGUUUUCCGGUUCAAGGCUCAUUGUAAAAGCGAACUCGGAGGAAAACAAAUAUUGGUCGUAUUUUGUUUUUCGACUUCAGUUCAAUAAAUUGACAUUGUAAAAACGGAUUAAGGUUCGUUUUUCGUUUUUUAUUUUCCAAAAUUAGAAGGAAAAACAAACGGCCUCAAGGUACACGGACAGUCUUGAUAGUUCUUGAAGUUUGGGAAUCAUACUUUUAUAGUCUAUGCGCUCAAAACUGCCACCUAUCAGAUGAAGGCGGAGGUUAUUUGAGACACGUGAAAAUUCUCGGCUUACUGUGUGUGAGAAAAUCUUGGUGAAACAUCGAGUGACGUUUGUCUCAAAAAGAAAUGCGCGUGUUUGCUGUUAAAGAACACAGCUCCAGCAAUUCACAAGCAAAAUUGAAUACUUAAAAAAUGUCAAGUCAUGAUAAUUGCACGCACAUCAUUAAAAAACAUGCGAAACUUGCGGAAGUAUUUGUGGAUUUGAAAAACACUUGUGGAAAACGCGGACGUAUUUGUGGAUCUGAAAAACGCGUGUGAAAAUCACUCAUGUAUUUGUGAGAAUCGCGGAUGUAUUUGUGAAUUUGAAAAACACGUGUGAAUCGCCAAUGCACUUGUUCUUGUUAUGUUUGUCUCAAAAAUAAAUGCACGCGGCCGCUGAUUCACAAAUACAAUUCGAAUGUUUGCAAACAAUAAUUCAUGAUGAGUGCACGCACAACAUUAAAAAACACAUGUGAAUUUCGAGGAUAUAUUAGUGGAUUACAAAAACACAUGUGAAACUCAUGGAUAUAUUUGUGGAUCUCGAAAAUACAUGUGAAAAUCUUGGAUAUAUUUGUGCAUCGACAAAAGAUAUGUGUAAAUCGCGAAAGUAUUUGUGAGAAUAUUUUUGAGACAAAUCUCUCCCCAUAGUUUUUCACACCCCUUUCCAGCGCAACAUGUCUGAAAUGUUUUUUUUGUUUUUUUUGUUGGAGACUUUAUCAUCAACAGACAAACUUUUAGACAGGAUACCUCAGUCAUCAGGUACAUCAGCUACCGACUCUACUGAGAACAAAGAAGGACACUUUACAGUGCAGGGCUGCUAUUGAGGACCAUUCUAAGCGAAUCACCCUCACUGAAAUGCCCAUGGCCUCCCACAGCAGAAGAUUUAAAUGUAUGUGAAGCGAAAGCUGUUGUGCCUGUUGAACAGUACAAUCGAUUGGUGCAACAGAAGAACCAACACUAGCCGGCAAAAGGGCAAACUACGAGGCAGCAGUAAUGCGACAUUGUCUGACUGGUAUGAUGUGUGCCCCUUCACCAAUUGGCAAUGGAUGGGACAUUGAGGAUGGUGAAUUAACAGUAAAAUGGAUGACUAGAAAUCCUGCCCCAGAUAGUGUGCUACAGGUAAUCCACUGUGGUUGCAAGAUAAGCAAGUGUGAGACUGAAAGAUGUUCAUGCUUGUCUGCAAAAAUGUCCUGUACAGAUUUAUGCCACUGCCAGGACUGUGAAAAUAUUUCAAAGGAAAUGGGAUGAUGACACUGAUGAUACUGAUAUUGAUGAGUAAUCACCCACCAUCUCUCCUAUGUUUAGUUUCAUUAUCAAAAUGUUACUCUCCAUUUUAACACCUUUAAAACAACAACAAAAAAAGGCUCUUUUCCCUUUUCCAAAAAAAUAGACCUUUGUUCAAUUUGACUGCCAAAAAAGAUGGAUGUUCCAAUGAAGUGCUAUUGUUUUAUUGAGAGUGCACAUUUCAUAUAUGUGUGUGUGUAUAUAUAUAUAUAUGUGUGUGUAUAUAUAUAUAUAUGUGUGUGUGUAUAUAUAUAUAUAUAUAUAUAUAUGUGUGUGUAUAUAUAUAUAUAUGUGUGUGUAUAUAUAUAUAUAUAUAUGUGUGUGUAUAUAUAUAUAUAUAUGUGUGUAUAUAUACACACUGAUACACUGCCCAUGGGAAAACCCAUGGACAGUGUAUCAAAUACUUGUUCUCCCCACUCUAUACAUAUAUAUUCCUAGAUUUUGACAAAAUUGGUGCAGGGAAACGUUGGGUGAACUUUUAACCCAAAGUUCAGAAGGGUAUUAUCUUAUCAAAAAAUGCAUUGAACAAGUAGUGCCCAGACAGUGGAACGAAACCCAUUUUCUAGGCACUUUUUCAGGGUCCACCCCAAGGCCUAAUUCUAUUUAACACAAGACUUAUUUUUCAUCCCAUACAAUUUAUUUAGCAAUUGGGGGAAAUUACUUAGAUACAUACUGUAAAAAUAUUGGAGUAGAGAGAUAAAAACAAUGAUGACAUUUUGCUGCUGUCUGUUGCAUUUUCCGCGUUCUGAAUCUUCCCCAUUGGGCUGAUUUCUAAAUCAGCUGAAAUCGUUACUCUGCCGACGUCAUCACCUAGAUGGAGGCACUAGAGCGCUACAAUGAUAGGCGGGGCUAAACGGCAGAUUAAAAGAAACAUUUCUCUUCAUCUGCGCUUUGCCAAAUUGUUGUAUAUAGUCGAAUGAUCUCAAAAUAUGAUUUUAAUUCACAUAAUAAUGCUAUUUAAUUUCAUCGUGUCACAGGCGCUUUAAAAGUCAGUGAUUGCAGGACUGGUUUACUUUCAAAAAGUGCUUGAGCCGAGUUUUGAGGGUUUGUAUUGCGGGACACUCCCUGAUGGCCCUACUAUGACCCUAGUCAUGGGGGCGGGGGCAAAUCAAAAAUUAAAUAGUAUUUUUUUAAAUUAAGAAACAAAGCACAUGAAAAAAAAAAUACAUAGUAAUGAAGUAAUAAAAUAGAAAUAAUUCUACAUGAAAUGAAAUUCAUUCUAAAAAAAAAAUCAAAACUUCAAAAUAUAAAUGAAAAAUUAUUGAAAUAAAUCAAGAUUAAAAAAAAUAAUAAUAAUAAUAACAUUAAUUCAAAUAAGUGUCCCAUGUGUGAAUUUUGCUGUGGGAAAGUUAUUCAUUUAAUUUUGUUUUGUUUGAUGAAUCUUGUGACCUCUCAUAUCUUAACUCUAUGGCUGCCUCUUACGGUAUUCAAUCCAUUUCAACUGAUUGUUCGAUCGCUUCCAGCCCCUCCCAGUUAAAAUGGAUUGGACGUCUAUCAAUAUCUUUUACUUAUUACCACAACAAAAAUUGUGACCUGGGCUGGCGGUGGUGAGGUAAACUAAUGAUAACUUUUGGAUAGAUGUCCACUGAUGUGACCACUGUAACCGAAAGGGUUAAACAUCAUCCUCAAAAAUAAAAAGUGCAAAUUACCACACAAAUGUUCCUUUUUGUGCUAUACACAAGUGUGGAUGCAACCCCGUUGGUUACAUAACUCUGUCGGAAUGGCUGACGGUUACCCAUUUGAUUAUUUCACCUUAUAACGCAUACUGUAGCUUGAUCUGAGGCUGAAAUGCAUCCCAACUCUUCUUUCUUGAUUUCUGUCCCAAUUUACAUCCAUUGUCCAGUUCACUGGCGCCUGUGGCACAGCUGUGAUGGUGUGUGAUGUAAUCCUACUUGGUUUAGUUAUUGUUGGGUAAAGAGACAUACUAUACAUUGUAUCCAAAAAAUUGUCCAUUGCUGCCAGUUUGCUUGGAUUUAAUAAAUCAAUAUUAAAAUCUCCACAGAUGAAGAAUGUUUUCUGCUUAAUAGUGGAAAACAAUUGGCUCAUCCAUUCAGUGAAGGAAUCAAUACAUGAACCCGGUGAUCGAUAGAUUCAACUGACAAUUAUAUUUUUCUUUUUUUCAUUGGAGAUCUCUAUUGUCAAACAUUCCAAGUGUUCUUGACAUAUCUAUUCAAUUCAAUUUUAUUUGUAUAGCCCUAAAUCACAACAAGGUUGUCUCAAAGGGCUUUGCAGAGGCAAUAUGAUACAAAAUCAGAAACAGCAAAUGAAGCAAUGAAGAUGAAUACAUACAUUUCAAGUCCUGGGCAUCCCCCAUCCUUAGACCCUCCAUGUCGGCAAGGAAAAACUCCAAAAACUCCAGAGUCUUUGGGAGAAAAUGAGAAACCUUGGGAAGUACCACACUGAGGAGAGAUCCACUCCCGGGACAGAUAGGCAGGGAGCACCAGUACUGCUAAUGGGAAUUAGCAGGCGAAGUUACAGUCCGUAAAGAUACAUUGGAGUAAAGGAACAAGAAGAGGUCCAUCUAGCCAGAUGAGACGGGGGUAGCAACGAGGACAUCCAUCCAGCCAGGGGUCCGGACAGUCAGGAGGCUGCAGCUGAAAAAGGGGUGGGGGGAAAGGGGAGACCGGGUGACGAGUGAUGAAGAGACUAGACAGAUAUUACCAUAUUACUAGAUAUUACCAUUGGAAAAUAGAAAUUAAGUAAGACAAGUGGUACUGUAGGUAGAGUGAGAAAAAGGAGAUAGAACUCAGUGGCUGUACUUCCCCCAGCAUUAUAGCUUCUAGUGCAGCUGUAUCUGUUAAUACCAUACAUUUAAUUGAUUUAUGAAUAUAUAGGGCAACUCCACCACCAGUUUUCUUUUCUCUAUGUAUUUUAAUUCGUAAUCAUCCAUAAGAAAAUCAAUACCUUUAUCAAUAUUAAACCACGUUUCUGUGAUCGCAAUUAUGCUGAAGGGGUGUGUAAAUUGGUGCAGAUAGUCUUUGGUAGAGCUGACAUUUUUGUACAUGCUUCUGCUGUUGAAAUGUAUAAUUGACAGUUUUGCCCAUUGAGUUGAUAUGAUUUUCAUACAGAUCUUGUGUAAAAAUAAUCGCAAUUGGUAACAGUAGAAGAAAAGAAAUGAUUGUCAGGAUCACUUUCUAUAUUAGGGACUCUUUUGUUGGACUCGUUGGAUUUAAAGGCCUCAAGUUCUAUUUGUUUGUUCUGAAGGGUUCGCAGAAGUGGAUCAAUGUCGCUCUUAUUCCUGAGUACAGUUCGUGUGUUUGAUGUAUCG